AUACGGAGGAUCCGAGCGUUAUCCGGAUUUAUUGGGUUUAAAGGGAGCGUAGGCGGACGCUUAAGUCAGUUGUGAAAGUUUGCGGCUCAACCGUAAAAUUGCAGUUGAUACUGGGUGUCUUGAGUACAGUAAAGGUGGGCGGAAUUCGUGGUGUAGCGGUGAAAUGCUUAGAUAUCACGAAGAACUCCGAUUGCGAAGGCAGCUCACUGGACUGCAACUGACACUGAUGCUCGAAAGUGUGGGUAUCAAACAGGAUUAGAUACCCUGGUAGUCCACACAGUAAACGAUGAAUACUCGCUGUUUGCGAUAUACAGUAAGCGGCCAAGCGAAAGCAUUAAGUAUUCCACCUGGGGAGUACGCCGGCAACGGUGAAACUCAAAUGAAUUGGCGGGG
rnacentral:rRNA from 1 species